AACCGAGGAGUGGUAAGUGUUAGAAGGGGUUCCACCCUUUUAGUGCUGUAGGUUAAAGCCAUUAAGCCACUCCCGCCUUGGGGGAGUUCCCCUCGCAAGAGGGAAAACUCAAAAGGAAAUUGACGGGGGGCCCCGCACCAAGCGGGUGGGAGCAUGUGGGUUUAAUUCGAAGCAACGCGAAAGACCCUUACCAGGUCUUGACAUCCCUUGACAACCCAAGAGAUUGGGGGUUCCCCUUCGGGGGACAAGGUGACAGGUGGUGCAUGGUUGUCGUCAGCUCGUGUCGUGAGAUGUUGGGUUAAGUCCCGCAACGAGCGCAACCCUUGACCUUAGUUGCCAGCAUUCAGUUGGGCACUCUAAGGUGACUGCCGAUGACAAAUCGGAGGAAGGUGGGGAUGACGUCAAAUCAUCAUGCCCCUUAUGACCUGGGCUACACACGUGCUACAAUGGGCGGUACAAAGGGUUGCAAACCCGCGAGGGGGAGCCAAUCCCAAAAAGCCGCUCUCAGUUCGGAUUGCAGGCUGCAACUCGCCUGCAUGAAGCCGGAAUCGCUAGUAAUCGCGGAUCAGCAUGCCGCGGAGAAGAGGACGUU
rnacentral:rRNA from 1 species